rnacentral:rRNA from 1 species
AUUGAACGCUGGCGGCAGGCCUAACACAUGCAAGUCGAGCGAGCGGCGGACGGGUGAGUAAUGUCUGGGAAACUGCCUGAUGGAGGGGGAUAACUACUGGAAACGGUAGCUAAUACCGCAUACCAUCAGAUGUGCCCAGAUGGGAUUAGCUAGUAGGUGGGGUAACGGCUCACCUAGGCGACGAUCCCUAGCUGGUCUGAGAGGAUGACCAGGCACACUGGAACGAAGAACCGGUCCAGAAUCUGACGGGAGGCAGGAGUGGUGAAUAUUGAACAAUGGGCGGAAGCCUGAAGCAGCCAUGUCGCGGGUGUGAAGAAGGCCUUCGGGUUGUAAAGCACUUUCAGCGGGGAGGCGUGACCCGCAGAAGAAGCACCGGCUAACUCCGUGCCAGCAGCCGCGGGAAUUC